rnacentral:rRNA from 1 species
AUUGAACGCUGGCGGCAGGCCUAACACAUGCAAGUCGAGCGGAUGAAGGGAGCUUGCUCCUGGAUUCAGCGGCGGACGGGUGAGUAAUGCCUAGGAAUCUGCCUGGUAGUGGGGGAUAACGUCCGGAAACGGGCGCUAAUACCGCAUACGUCCUGAGGGAGAAAGUGGGGGAUCUUCGGACCUCGCGCUAUCAGAUGAGCCUAGGUCGGAUUAGCUAGUUGGUGGGGUAAAGGCCUACCAAGGCGACGGUCCGUAACUGGUCUGAGAGGAUGAUCAGUCUCACUUGAACUGAGACACGGUCCAGACUCCUACGGGAGGCAGCAGUUGGGAAUAUUGGACAAUGGGCGAAAGCCUGAUCCAGCCAUGCCGCGUGUGUGAAGAAGGUCUUCGGAUUGUACAGCACUUUAAGUUGGGAGGAAGGGCAGUAAGUUAAUACCUUGCUGUUUUGACGUUACCAACAGAAUAAGCACCGGCUAACUUCGUG